CCAAUCUUCCACAUCGCCCUUGGGAGGAUGAUACAUUGCAUGCCGGGAACGGAGCCAAAGACAUGGCUCAGCAAGAGCCUCUGAACCCUACUCAGUUAAACGAGGAAUGGCUACAACAUCUUACAACAGCUGUCAUCCGC